UACGUAGGCAGCAAGCGUUGUUCGGAGUUACUGGGCGUAAAGAGCGCGCAGGCGGUCGGAUAAGUCGAAUGUGAAAGCCCCCGGCUCAACUGGGGGGGGUCAUUCGAUACUGUUCGACUCGAAGGCAGGAGAGGGAAGUGGAAUUCCCGGUGUAGUGGUGAAAUGCGUAGAUAUCGGGAGGAACACCAGUGUCGAAGGCGACUUCCUGGCCUGUUCUUGACGCUGAGGCGCGAAAGCUAGGGGAGCAAACGGG
rnacentral:rRNA from 1 species